rnacentral:rRNA from 1 species
UGAACGCUGGCGGCGUGCCUAAUACAUGCAAGUCGAGCGAACAGACGAGGAGCUUGCUCCUCUGACGUUAGCGGCGGACGGGUGAGUAACACGUGGAUAACCUACCUAUAAGACUGGGAUAACUUCGGGAAACCGGAGCUAAUACCGGAUAAUAUAUUGAACCGCAUGGUUCAAUAGUGAAAGACGGUUUUGCUGUCACUUAUAGAUGGAUCCGCGCCGCAUUAGCUAGUUGGUAAGGUAACGGCUUACCAAGGCAACGAUGCGUAGCCGACCUGAGAGGGUGAUCGGCCACACUGGAACUGAGACACGGUCCAGACUCCUACGGGAGGCAGCAGUAGGGAAUCUUCCGCAAUGGGCGAAAGCCUGACGGAGCAACGCCGCGUGAGUGAUGAAGGUCUUCGGAUCGUAAAACUCUGUUAUUAGGGAAGAACAAAUGUGUAUGUAACUAUGCACGUCUUGACGGUACCUAAUCAGAAAGCCACGGCUAACUACGUG